CCGGCGUUGGGCGGCUCUCUUCCUUUGCUGAACUGCACCUCAGCGCUGAUGACAGGCGGUCUGCUUACUGCAUGGUAAGCAAAUCGCCAGGACCGGGACCAGAGCUCUCCUGAAAAGACACCGAGCCCCAAAAGGGGACCGUCGUCUUGUGAUGGAAGAAGCUUCCUGGUAUGAAAUGGCGUUGUCCCCGAGGGCACUUUUCACGCGGCUGCACUAGAGCGCUGUUCUUCGAUGUAAAAGUAGAAAAAAUAAGAAUCCCCCUGAGAUUUGAACAGGUCAAACCCAAAUGAUGUUUUAAAGAAGCUUGAAGACCUGACUCUUUGCCCAGACAUUUGAUUUGAACAGGCCAAAUGGUGUUCAAAGGGCCUUGAAGAGCUGAUUCUUUGCCCAGAAGUAAUUUACCUGCCAGAGAAAGGAUGCUGGUUCACAAGAUCUCCAUUCUGAAGAUGGUAAUCACUGAAGAAAUCAGGACUUAUUGCUCCAUCAUGUGUUAUUAAUCCAUCUAUGAAACAAGAAAAAAU